UAAUACCUUCCCUCCUAUAGCACCAUGCUAGGCACCAAAAACUGGGAGAUGAGCAGAGCGUAGGCCCCAUGCUGCUCCAAGGCUAGCAGCCAAGGGAGACAAGGACAAAAGCCAUCACAGUGUCUGGCCAAAGUGAGGACACAAAGACAGGAGUGCUCAGACUGCAUCAGAGGGGACAAGGAAAAGACAUCAUGAAGCUGGAGAACCCUGAAUGGAGACUUGGAAGACAAGUUGGAGGUCUCCAGAGUGGAAGGGCUUGCAGGCAGUAAAUUGCCACUUGCAAGAGCCUCGGGUGCCAAUGCAGUUCCUGGAAAUGAGGGAUAAGAUUGAGCACAGAAGACUCAAAAAUAACCGGGCGCUCCUCAGAGGGAUCUGUGUCUUGGCAAGGAGGAAAAUCACCCCAAUGCUGCCUGUGAUUCCAGACCCAGGGCUAGUCAGUGGGACCCAAGACCAUGAACUCUGCUCACACUGCAGAAGAUGCGGAGCAAGGGGCCUGGGUUUCUAGUCACCAUGCUAUCCAAGAGCUGCUCUGUAGACGUUUCAGGCCAUUAGUACAAAAAUAAAUAAAUAAUGCAGGAG
rnacentral:lncRNA from 1 species